rnacentral:rRNA from 1 species
GACGAACGCUGGCGGCGUGCUUAACACAUGCAAGUCGAACGGAAAGGCCCUGCUUUUGUGGGGUGCUCGAGUGGCGAACGGGUGAGUAACACGUGAGUAACCUGCCCUUGACUUUGGGAUAACUUCAGGAAAUUGGGGCUAAUACCGGAUAGGAGCUCCUGCUGCAUGGUGGGGGUUGGAAAGUUUCGGCGGUUGGGGAUGGACUCGCGGCUUAUCAGCUUGUUGGUGGGGUAGUGGCUUACCAAGGCUUUGACGGGUAGCCGGCCUGAGAGGGUGACCGGCCAAAUUGGGACUGAGAUACGGCCCAGACUCCUACGGGAGGCAGCAGUGGGGAAUAUUGCACAAUGGGCGGAAGCCUGAUGCAGCAACGCCGCGUGCGGGAUGACGGCCUUCGGGUUGUAAACCGCUUUCGCCUGUGACGAAGCGUGAGUGACGGUAAUGGGUAAAGAAGCACCGGCUAACUACGUG